rnacentral:rRNA from 1 species
GACGAACUGUCCUAACGUUGUUCGGAAUCACUGGGCUUAAAGGGCGCGUAGGCGGUCGAUCAAGUCAGGGGUGAAAUCCUGCAGCUUAACUGUAGAAGUGCCUUUGAUACUGGUCGUCUCGAGGGGGGUAGGGGCAUGCGGAACUAUGCGUGGAGCGGUGAAAUGCGUUGAUAUGCAUAGGAACUCCGGUGGCGAAGGCGGCAUGCUGGACCCUUUCUGACGCUGAGGCGCGAAAGCCAGGGGAGCAAACGGG